UUAGUUGGUGGAGUGAUUUGUCUGCUUAAUUGCGAUAACGAACGAGACCUUAACCUGCUAAAUAGCCCGUAUUGCUUUGGCAGUACGCUGGCUUCUUAGAGGGACUAUCGGCUCAAGCCGAUGGAAGUUUGGCUC
rnacentral:ncRNA from 2 species